AUUUCUUCUUGACAAGGUUUGACUUGAAAUGCUUGGGACACGACAAAUUGGUUGACAAUAAGGUUGUAACCAUGCAUUGUCGAAUUUUGAAUGGUAUGGAUAAAGAAAAUAGGAAGCAUUUCUUAUCUCCAAACUUUGUGUUGUUCAUACCAAUAUGCAGGAAA